GUGCUUAACGCUUUCGCUGCGACACUGAAAACUAUGUUUCCAACGUCUAGCACACAUCGUUUACGGCAUGGACUACGAGGGUAUCUAAUCCUCUUCGCUACCCAUGCUUUCGCUCCUCAGUGUCAGUAAUGAUCCAGAAAGUUGCCUUCGCAUUUGGUGUUCUUUCUAAUAUCUACGAAUUUCACCUCUACACUAGAAAUUCCACUUUCCUCUAUCAUACUCUAGCUAAAAAGUUUUGAUUGCAGUUCCAAGGUUGAGCCUUGGGAUUUCACAAUCAACUUUUUUAACCACCUACGAGCUCUUUAAGCCCAGUAAUUCCGAGCUACGCUAGGUCCCUUCGUAUUACCGCGGCUGCUGGCACGAAGUUAGCCGGACCUUCUUAUUCGGGUACAGUCAUUUUCUUCCCCGACGAAAGAGUUUUACAACCCAAAGGCCUUCUUCACUCACGCGGCAUCGCUGCAUCAGGGUUUCCCCCAUUGUGCAAGAUUCCCCACUGCUGCCUCCCGUAGGAGUUUGGGCCGUGUCUCAGUCCCAAUGUGGCUGGUCUUCCUCUAAGAACAGCUAUUGAUCGUUGCCUUGGUGAGCAAUUACCUCACCAACUAGCUAAUCAAGUGCGGGCUCAUCUUUUGGCGUAUAAAACUUUCCCUGUGAAGGCUUAUCCGGUAUUAGCACAAGUUUCCUCGUGUUAUUCCAAACCAAAAGGCAGAUUCCCACAUUAUACUCACCCGUUUGCCACUCAGUAUUGCUACUGCGUUCGACUUGCAUGUGUUAGGCGUGCCGCCAGCGUACGUUCUGAGCCAGGAUCAAACUCU
rnacentral:rRNA from 1 species